GCUUUCUCUUGACUACGAUAUCGCAAUAACAUUACAUUUUAUUGGUAGAGUUGCCAUAGCCCUCCAAUCAUAAUUUCUAGUACACUGGCUUAGCAACGUUAUUCGUUUUAAAUUGUAAACGUGUACAACUUUUUAUUCUUGAUUCUGACUUGUUAGAGGCCAUCAAGCUGAAAGAAUAAUAGUAGCGUGUGCUGUUAUUUAUUCCUGGGAAGAUGGUAGAAUUGGAGAAUACCUCCGUACAAGUGGUUUCUGCAGUACCCCUUGGACAUGUUCUUGUCGAUGAAAAAUGGAGAGGGUCCGAACUAGUUCAAAAGUUACAGGG